rnacentral:rRNA from 1 species
AUACGGAGGGUCCAAGCGUUGUUCGGAAUCAUUGGGCGGAAAGCGGGCGUAGGCGGCGUGGCAAGUCAGAUGUGAAAUCCCAGGGCCCAACCCUGGAACUGCAUUUGAAACUGCCUCGCUAGAGUCGCGGAGAGGAUGGCGGAAUUCCCGGUGUAGGGGUGAAAUCCGUAGAUACCGGGAGGAACACCAGUGGCGAAGGCGGCCAUCUGGACGCUGACUGACGCUGAGGUCCGAAAGCGUGGGGAGCAAACAGGAUUAGAAACCCCAGUAGUCC